UUUCCGUAGGUGAACCUGCGGAAGGAUCAUUACCGAGUUAGGGUUGCCUUUCUAGGUGCCCGACCUCCCAACCCUGUGUGAACACAUCUUGUUGCUUCGGGGGCGACCCUGCCGGCACUCGGUCGCCGGGCGCCCCCGAAGGUCUCCCAACACUGCAUCUUUGCGUCGGAGUUUAAAACAAAUUAAACAAAACUUUCAACAACGGAUCUCUUGGUUCUGGCAUCGAUGAAGAACGCAGC
rnacentral:misc_RNA from 1 species